rnacentral:rRNA from 1 species
AUUGAACGCUGGCGGCAGGCCUAACACAUGCAAGUCGAGCGGAUGACAGGAGCUUGCUCCUGGAUUCAGCGGCGGACGGGUGAGUAAUGCCUAGGGAUCUGCCUGGUAGUGGGGGACAACGUUUCGAAAGGAACGCUAAUACCGCAUACGUCCUACGGGAGAAAGCAGGGGACCUUCGGGCCUUGCGCUAUCAGAUGAGCCUAGGUCGGAUUAGCUAGUUGGUGAGGUAAUGGCUCCCCAAGGCGACGAUCCGUAACUGGUCUGAGAGGAUGAUCAGUCACACUGGAACUGAGACACGGUCCAGACUCCUACGGGAGGCAGCAGUGGGGAAUAUUGGACAAUGGGCGAAAGCCUGAUCCAGCCAUGCCGCGUGUGUGAAGAAGGUCUUCGGAUUGUAAAGCACUUUAAGUUGGGAGGAAGGGUUGUAGAUUAAUACUCUGCAAUUUUGACGUUACCGACAGAAUAAGCACCGGCUAACUCUGUGCCAGCCGCCGCAGUAACAC